rnacentral:lncRNA from 1 species
GUCAGAAAAAUAAAUUGUGUGAUUAUUUAAUCAAAAUUUUGUUUUGAUCUGAUCGCUAUAUUUUUUUUUGUAAUGUUUGACAAUUUUAGUAAAAUAAUAAUUUACAGAAGGAUGUAUAAAAAUAAAUCGGAUUAAUUUCAAGUUGGUGUUUACAUACGGAAUCGUAGUGUAUCAAACAGCAGCGAUAGUGGUAUACAUUUAUUCAGUGGCAUCCAUUGAAGGCAACCACUAUGUUCUGGUCAACGAUGCUUGUGCAGCUAUAUUUCAUUCUGAUGUUAGUUUGUCUCAUCGUGAUUCGUUAUACGGAAGCAACGAGAGGAGUAUGCCGUAGGCCGACGACAACGACGCCGGCGCCACAGGAACAAACAACAGCAGCGGCGCCUUAGAGGUGCCGUUUGCAAAGAAUGAAAACUGAUCCUCUUUACUUCUUUGCAAUAUUUGCUCGCAUAAAAGACGUCAAGUACUGACCUGAAAUAUAUAUUCAGCUAAAUAUUCUAAACUGUCCUUGCAGCAUACAUUAUAAGUCGACAACAGUCUUAAUUGAGCAUAAGUCUUUAAUUUCACAACAGAAACAGUAACGUAAUGUAAUAUGCUUUGAAAUCGGUGACCUUAGCAACUCGACCAUGGAGGUCUCGGACUCCGUCGAUAGUGAAAACUACAUCUCCUUGAAAGUCAAAUGCAAAUGAUAAAUAAAUAGACCAGGAUUCCCAGUUAUAAAGGUAUGAAUUUUUGGAUGAAAAACCCUUUCAUAUGUGACGUCGACGUUAUCUAAAGCGAUGCUCUAGUGUAUUUUCAUUGCCUCUCCCAAACCGAAAAUACAAUCUUCAACAAAAGAUUUGACUGUUACAUUUUCCUUUUUCAUUUGUAGCUCUUAUCAUAUGUUGUCUAUAGUUAUACUUUUAUAUGUUUCGAUUGAUUGUGAUACCACUGGAUCUUUCUGUCAGUAGCAUGAGAAAUAUAAAUGAGUUGUUA